UUCAGCAUGGUUUAGUGGUUUGAGUGUUGGACUAUGAUUCUGGAGACCAGGGUUUGAUUCCCUGCUCAGCCA
rnacentral:tRNA from 1 species